rnacentral:rRNA from 1 species
UACGUAGGGCGCAAGCGUUAUCCGGAAUUAUUGGGCGUAAAGAGCUCGUAGGCGGUUUGUCGCGUCUGCCGUGAAAGUCCGGGGCUCAACUCCGGAUCUGCGGUGGGUACGGGCAGACUAGAGUGAUGUAGGGGAGACUGGAAUUCCUGGUGUAGCGGUGAAAUGCGCAGAUAUCAGGAGGAACACCGAUGGCGAAGGCAGGUCUCUGGGCAUUACCUGACGCUGAGGAGCGAAAGCAUGGGGAGCAAACAGG